UUGAAGUGGUUUGACAGCCAAAGAUCCAGGAUUUGUGGGGCAAGGAUUCAGCACUCUGAAUAUUAAUAUUACUCCUCGGGGAAAGAGUUAAUGAUGAGCCUGAGAUUGGAAGUGGAUGGGAAACUUGAGAAGAGGGAUUGGCAUGAUUUCUUGGGAGUGCUGUCAGGUUUUUGGAUUAUUCAGACCGUUUCCAGAACCCUUAAUCCCACACCAAGAUACAGUUGCAGGUGGGAGACUGCUGGCCAGUCGUCUUCCUCAUCCACUACAUCUUUAAAUAUGGAGAAAGCACAAGUUUACCUGCUUUUCUUGGAAUAUCAUGCUAGUUUAAGGAGUCACCCAACAGUGUCUCAGAAUGAUGCCUUAAACUGUAUUUAUUUUGACUAUUCACAUUUACUAAAUGAAUUCUACAUAUCAUCCUAUUUGAUGAUUCCACGAGGUACUUCAAACAGGUAUUAUUCCCAUUUUAUAGAUUUAUAAAGUGAGGCUUCUAAGGAUUAAAAGAGCAUUCCUAAAUCACACAGCUGGGAAGUAGCAAAGCUAGGAUCCUAGCUCCUACCUUUUGAUUCCAAGCUGAAUAAUCUUUAUGUGGGAGCAUCUCUACCAGCCACUUACUAAUAUUCUCAUUCCCCUACUUCUUGCCUAGGCUGGCCACUGAGUUAGUGAUACAGGGAAAGGACACUGGAAGGAAACCAAGAAGCAGAUUUUCCACCGUUCAGGCCUUAUGUCAUACCACCAAUUGGGAAUCAGCUCUCUGUAUAGGAAAAUAUCAUGUAGACUACUGGGACAGUACAGAUAAGCAUCUAUAGAUGAAGUUUCGAUGGGUUAUGCAGUCUGUUCUUCCUUGAAUAUCAGUAAGAUUGUGGACUUGGUCUGUCAGUGGGCCAUGAGCAAUUCUUUGCAUUGAGAACAUUCUUAUAAAGAUGAGAUUUUUACCAAAAGUUGUUACUCUGGCAUUAUUACUUAACACCAUCACUGAGACAUUAAACUGAAAAGAAAUGGUCAGGGGCAGAGAUGGGAAAGAACUCUCCCUCUUUUCUGUGGAAUAGUAGGGAAUAUAUUUAAUAUCAGACAUAGGCAUGCUAUACUUGCUUUUUUCUUAGCCUUUUCUUGGUCAUGUAGAAGCAUUGUGUUGCAGUAGAUGGAGUGAAAGCUUUGGAAAGCCUGGAUUAAACUACUAUUUCUGAUACAUACUGUCCAUAUGACCCCAAUCAAAUUAAUUAACCUUUUAGUACUUCUGGAAACUCUAAGACUCCAAACUGCAGCGAAGACACUGAUCUCUGUUGAUAGGGGAAGUUCCCCAUGUCAUUGAAAUCACAUGUCUUGCACCUAUCUUUUUUCCUUGUUUCAAGAGGAGGUUUCUUGGUUAGAUAGCUGGAUGGGGUGACAUAUCUAGAAAUGACUAUAGGGUAAAAACAAAAAAGCAUCAAUAAUACUUAAUUAAAAAAGAAAGGCUCAUGAGGAAUGUGGUGGAGGUAAACCAAAUACCCUCUCUCCUUUUAAAGUCAAGAACAGUCAUAAAUUUGACAUAACCAAAUGUGAAAAAUAAAGUAUAUUUUGGUCCCAGAAUUUUGUAUUUUCCAGGUUAUUUGGGAAAGUUCACAAAGCACAGGUCUGCUGAGCUAUUCAAGCUUGGAAAGUUUAUCUAAAUCAAAUGUCAAAGAAAAAUCUUUACCUCCAUAAGAAAAAUCAUUCUCUUUUAUGAAUCAUUCUAAGAAAGUCUUCAGGAGAGAACAAAGCAGAAUUCUGUGGGGCAUGGAAGGAAGUAAGACUCAUGCUCAUGCUUUCUAUUUUUGACUCUGUGGCUUAAUAACUAAUUGUGUGAUCAUUGGUCAUUUCACAGAUAUCUACCCGUUCCUCCAUUAAUAAAAUGAAAGUAACUUUAUUGAACAGAAAAGUUUGGGAUUUUAGUUUAGAAAAAGUAGUCAAAAAUAUUUACUAAAUGCCUAGUAUUAUAUAUGUCAUGAAAGACAUUCAUUAUUAUAAAAUAGAGCCUUUUAGUUCCAAUAGACUUGUAAUGGAAAGUGUCAUCCAUUUCCAGAGAGAGAACUAUGGAGAUUGAAUAUGGAUCAAAGCAAAGCAUUCACUUUUUUAUUGUUAUUGUUGUUUGUUUGUUUGCUUGCUUUUUUCCUUUAUUGUGUUUUUUCUCUUUUGAUCUGAUUUUUCUUGCAUAGCAUGACAAAUACAGAAAUAUGUUUAGAAGAAUUGCACAUGUUUUACCUAAAUCAGAUUGUUUGCCAUCUUUGGGGAGAGGGGAGGAAGGAAGAGAGGGGGAAAAAAUGUAAUACAAGAUUUUGCAAAAGUGAAUAUUGAAAACUAUCUUUGCGUGUAUUUGAAAAAAUAAAGUACUAAAGAUAAACUCAGGAAAGAAAUUUUUAAAAAAUAAAGUAGGGUCUUUAAUGAAA